UGCCUCCGUUGGGAAGAUUGCCCAACCUUGAAAGCCUGCUAUUGAUCUCGUUGAAGGUGAGAAGGCUGGAUGGUGGAUUUUUAGGUAUAGAAAAAGAUGAGAAUGCCAGUAUCAAUGAAGGAGAAAUUGCAAGGGUCACUGCUUUCCCCAAAUUAAAAACACUUAGUUUUUGGCAUCUCAAAGAAGUAGAAGAGUGGGAUGGAAUUGAAAGGAGAUCAGUGGGAGAAGAAGAUGCCAACACAACUUCAAUACCCAUUAUGCCACAACUUCAAGAGUUGAGAAUUAUGAACUGCCCGUUGCUGAGAGCAGUACCAGACUAUGUUUUGGCAGCGCCCCUACAGACAUUGGUCAUAGAUGUUUGCCCCAAUCUAAGGAAACGUUACGGGAAGAAGGGUGAAGAUUGGCAAAAGAUUUCUCACAUCCCUAACACUUCUUAUUGUUUAAAGAAUAGUUAAGACACCACUACGUACGGAAGUGGCAGGAAGAGGUAUGUUUCAUACACCUCUUUACUGUAUAUUGUUGACUUUGGAUUGUAUUUCCUACUUACCAUUUAUUCUAUCAAAUGCAGCUUUGAUAAUUUUGGAUUGUAUUUCCGACUUACCAUUUAUUGUUUCGACUUACCAUUUUGGAUUCUAUCAAAUGCAGCUUUGAUAUAUUUAUUUUGUUCAGAGUGGCUUCCGAUUUGGUUCUGCGUUGUGAUUUACUUCUUUGAUUGUAUUAAUUAUUUAUUAUUGAAGUAAGAAGAAAGGAAUUGAAUUUAGAAUGCUAAGUAAGCCAUGGUGGCAGCCGAGGCACAGAGGUAGUAAUAUUAAUACAUUAGAACUAUAAUUUGUUGCUGCCCAGCUUGGAAGGUAUUAGUGUCACUUCCAAUGCAUGAAAUAAUUUAUUGCUGGAGGACGAGCAGGGCCCCUAGCUGCUGUUUAAUACCGAGGCACAUUGUAAUUUUAAAAAAAUGUUUUUAAUUUUAUCUAAAGAUGUAUUAAAAUAUUUUCUUAGAUUUUUUUUAUUUUUUAUAUUAAUACAUUAAAACCAUGAAAAAAACUCUAGAAAGGUAUUACUUUAAUGUUUUUUUAAGCCAAAUGCACUUUUAAAAUACAUCAAAACACAGUUUCAAAAGUAAAAUUAAGAAGGUUUAUGAACCUUAUCAGCCCCAAAGUUGUGUUGUGCAUUUAUUAUUAUAAUAUUAGUUAUAUUUUUUCAGAAUAAUAUGUUUAUAGUGUUUAAAAAUUAACUAUUUAUUUAAAUUAUUUGAAUAACUUGAUAUGAAAUUUCAUGUAUAAUUAUUAAAUUAAUUAAUUUUAAAAAUAAUAAUUUUUUUUUUUUAUGUUACGUAAUGUCAAUUGGCAAAUCUUCUCUUUUAAAUUAGUUUAAAAUUUGAGUCAACGACUCAUCAAACCCGGAGAGACCUGAAUGUAACUCCAAGGAUUUAUUUUUUAUUUUUUCAUCCAGAACAACCAACGUGGUUUUAGUUUUUUUUAAAAAAAAAAUUACUCAUUAGAACGUUUUUGUCUUAGAGUUGAUCCAACAACCCAAGUCAAGCCAUACAAACAAUGAGUUAUGCUUAUAUGUGUAUUUUUUUUUAAGGAUCCCACAAUACAUAUUUUUAGAUUGUUUUGGGGUAAUUUUUGUAAUUGUAAAAAUUGUUUAAUGUAUUUUCUGUUUAGUUGACUUUUUGUAUUUAGUAUUGUGGAUGUAAAAAAAAGAAAAGAAAAGAAAGAGAAAAUAAUAAUAGAAAAAGAGAUGUGUGUGUGUUUAUUUUUUUUAUGUAUGUUAUUGAAUCAAAAGAAAAAAAAUGAAUUUAAUAUUUUAAUUUAUAUGCAUGAAUAUCUAAAAGGACAGAUAAAAUCAUGUUGUAUUUUUCAUGAAAAUGUAGAACAUGUAUCUACAUAUAUUUUGGGAACUAAUAACUGAUUUAUCAAAGCCUUAGAAUUGAGCUAAAAUUUUAUUUUUAAAAUCACAUCAAGUUCACGAAGCUUGAAAGUGAAUGUGUGGUUUGUAUUUUGUUUAUGAAUGUCUUUUUUAUGAUAAAAUUGCAAGAAUAAAGAAGAAUUUAAUAUUUUGAUUUGAUCACGGUAAAAAGAAUUAUGAACUUACAUGUAAGUCGUAUUUCUAAUACCUGAUGAAAGAAUAAAAUUUUUAAAACUUCUUUAACACAUCAAAGUCAUGAAGCAGCUUACCUCAGGUAGGGUGCGUUAGUGGUGCUAAUACCUUCCCUAACCACAACCAGUCCCUUACCCAUGAAUCUCUGACAAGACCAGUACAUCCGGUUUCCUAGUAGCUCACAAUCAAUUACUAGGUGGCGACUCCAAUGAACGAAUCAUAAGCAUAACGAGAAACGAAAAGAAUCGUCAGCCGAUGCCGCGCGGAUUUUCUGACGUGCGACAGUGGACAAACAUGUGUUUGUGCAAACAGAAUAAUUGUGCAAGUGGGUAUCCAACAAUAGAAUUGCAGCCCUGAUUUUACCCCUUAAUUCUAAUUUUAUAUGUAAUGUUAAAAUAUGUAACGUGACAAUGAAAUUAUGUACGUGUUACAAUUCUGGAUAUGAAUAUUGUAACAAGUCUAUCUUCCUUAUAUUUAUAGGAGGAGCAUUCGUGGCUGGAACCAUAGCGGAGCGAGCUUGAACACCUGGAGCUGCAGGUAGGUGUUUCGCUCUUUAACUAUGUAAAGUUAUUGUAGUUGUUCUUUUGUUUUUCUUAUAUGUGAUUGGUUUGUCUUUGUUAUUUACAUUUGAUAAUUAUUAGAACUGAAUUGUGUCAUGGUUGUAAGAGAAUGAUGAGAGCACAUGGUUAAGAAUGAAGAGAAUUAUUCAAUGAAUGAAAUUAAUUAAUAUAAAAGAUAAUGUGUAUGACUUAGUUAUCUAAAUGGUUAGAAACUAAGGAGAUAUGAAUAUUGAUUUUGACUUAGUUUUUCAAAAUGGUGGAAAGCUAAGGUGAAUAGUAUUUGACUUAGCCAUUUGCAAAGGCAAGGCUAAGGUGAUAUGAAAAAAAUGACUUAGUCAUCCGUAAGAAUGGAAACUAAGGUGUGGUUAUAAAACUUAGUCAUUCAUGUGUAAAAUGGCUAAGGUGGUAAUGAAUUCAGCCAGGAAUUGAGGAAGACCUAGAUUAAUUGUGUGAUUACUUGGACUUCCAUUAAGAUGGGGACCAAGGUGGCCAAAAAAAAAAAAAAGAAAGAAAGAAAGAAGAGUAAGCUUUGCAAGCAAACUAUGGAGCUUGGUAAUGAAGAAGUCAUCUCAAGAAGAAUAUAUCUACAGAAAAUGUAUUAGAAAUUAUGGCGUUAAAAAGGAAAACAAAAAAGUGUAAACUAUAUAUUUAUAUAUGUAUAAAUAAAUUAAAUUAAUAUUACUAAAUAAAUUAUGUUGUAUUUGUUGCAGGUCCUUUUCAUACCGCAGGAUAACCUUGAUUUUCUUUUUUUAUGGAUAAUUAUUUACUAGAUAUAUUUUAGAUAUGUGAAUUAUGUAAUUUUCUAGUUCACUAGGAUUUAAAAUUAUCUUCUUUUACAUAAAACAAGACUUGUACUGUUUGAUAAGUAAUAAGGUAAGAAGAAUUAAUGAUAUUGAUUUGCUGAGGUGAUAUAACGACGAGUGUUAUAACAGCAGGUAGUAAAGGCAAUAUUGAGGAAGAGAUGGUAAUGGUUAUAAUGGCGGCAAUAAUGAUUUUGACACAAUGAAAAUUGUGUAGAAGUUGGUAGGGUGGUUGUGGUUAUGCUAAUUAGAGUUGUUGAAUUAUAUUGCAAUGCAAUUCCAUGAUGUAAAAGUAUUUUUCAACUUGGAUUGAACUUAAUUAAUUAGUUUAUUAAUUUGUACAAAAAUAGUUUUAUUUCAUAAAAUAGAAAUUACAAAUAGUAAUUCAACUCAUAAUUUCAUCUAGUAUCAUGUUCUCUCUCUCACAAGAUUUUGAGUUUUAUAUAUUUAUUUUUUCUCUUUGAUAAAAUUUUAAUUUGAACUAAAUUAUUUUUUAUAAAAUGAAGUAUUAUUGCUUUCCAUCUAGAAAUGAAACACAAUAAAUUAUUUCAUAAAACAAUACAUGCAAAAUAAUUCAAUACUACUUAUAAAAGAAAAACCAUUUUAAAGUAUUAAGUCAAAAAUUCAAGAUGUUUUAAAGUAAUCCCUAGUAAUUUUGAUUUUCUCAUAAAUCUAAUUUUAUUGAGUGAAUGAAAGAUUUCAAAUAUAUAGUACGUAGUAUAUAAAUAAUUUUCUGAACCAAAGAAAAAACAGAAUUUUUAGGAGUGAUUUAAAAUCAUGAACUAGAAUUUAAGUAUUCAAGUUGAGCAUAUUAAAUUUGAAUUCCCAGUCGUUCAAGUGCAUGGGACACAAAUCCUUCUUCAAGAAUCGUCGUGUUUUCUUCCCCUUGGAACCCAUUAAAACAUGGAGCCCAAAAGUAUUUAGAUUGCCCAAUUCACUAAGUCAUAAUGAGGGAACCCAAGCCCAAGCAGAGUACUCUGAGCUAAUUCAUUUUAUUUAGAAUUAUUAUGAUUAUUAUAUCCACUCCAUUAAUUAUUAGUUCCACUUCAUUUUGUAGCCACGAUGAUCAAUAAUGCUCACUUUUAAUGUUUUUUUUUCCUUCUAAUUAUUAUGAUCAAAAUCCAUUUUUGUAGGACGUAUGACCUCACCUCAACACUAGUUUUGUACCCGCACUCUGCAAUGAGGUGCCUCUGCUUUUUUCUGGUAAGGGAAGGCAAAUAGAAUGAGUUUAAAGCAUAAUGACUUAAUUGCAAAAUGCAUAUGAAUGCAGUUUUUUGACAAGGGAGUUUGGUCUUCCUGAAGCAGCAACAAUGGCUGCUAAGCUACGCAUAAUUUGUUGUCUUAUUCCCAACAAUGCCAUUCUGACCCCAAACGCUGCUGAAUCUAGCAUGCUGAUUUCCUCACUAAUUUCGAUUUCCAGAUUUCAUAACCUCAGCCCUUAUUUUAGUAACCAAACAACUCUCUUCCUAUGUUCCUGCAUCUGCAUGUCCACUCUUCACUCUCUGAUUCCUGAAUCUUGAAAACACUCUUCUUUUGUUUUUCUAGUUGUCUUGCUUUAUGUUUCUAGCUAAAAGAAGAAAGAAGUGCCUUAAAUUAUGAAAAACUAGAAAAAGACAAUGAAAGAAGUGCCUUAAAUCACGUUAAUCCAGACAAUGCGAAUCCUUUCCUACAGAAAAUCUUGCUCAUUUCUUGGCCUUUUCACACCCAUUUGCUCCCCUUCACAAACAAAGCUCCCCAUUUAAAGGAGCUCCAAUCACGCAAACCAGCAAUCCUUCCCAACUUUUUUCCAUGACCACAGCACGCUACUGAUAUCCACACAGCCCCAGCUUCAGACAGCUUCCAUCACGCAGACCAGCAAUCCCUGCAAUCCCUUCCCUGUUAACACAACCGCAGAGCCUGUAGCUGCCGCCAACAAAACCCCAGCAUCCUCUCCAUGAAUAAACCAAAACACAUCCCUGCUCAUCCACUGAUAACUCCUUAAACUACCCAGAUACAUGACUUCCAAAAGGUAUAUGAUUUUUCAAGUUAAAUGUAACCUCUAAAAGUAUGGAGAGUUGGAGACUUGAAUUAUUCUUUGCACGGUGACAAAUGAAUUCUAGAAUUUAGAUUUUUAUUUCCCAUCUAAAUAUUAAAAUAUUUGACAUUAAAGAUAUUUUAAUAUAUUUUUUUAAAUAUAUAUAUAUAUAUAUAUAUAUAUAUAUAUAUAUAUAUAUAAAAUACUAUACAGCAUAAUCUCAAGCACCAUCAACAAAUCCAAUCAUACAACCUCAACAAAUCUGGACCAUCCAUUUUCAGACCCAAAAAUCAAAGAUCAAUAUCAAACCCCAGUCCCUGCUAUGAAAACAGGAUAAAAUCACCAGAUCUCAAAAACCCAGAUAGAUAGAUGCUUGUUUAUAUUUCCAUUACACAAGAACUAAUUGGUUACUAAUUUUGGUUUGUGUAAAUUAGUUUGAAUGGCCAGAUAUAUAUUACAUAAAAUGAAGAGAAGAAAUAGAGAAGCAGGAAUUUCAGUAGAAUGCUAUAAUCAGUUGUCCAUAUCAGAUACAUUCUUAACCUAAGGUCAGUAUCAAUAAAAAAUAAUUGCUAUAUAUCGAAGAAGAAAUUACUUUCCACAAAUAAUAAUCCUUAGCCUAGAACUCGGUAGAAUUGAAAAGCACGAGUGUUUCACCUUUGGAACUCAAAAUGGCAUGUCAUUCUCAGUAGAAACAUACAACCAAGACAGGGACUGAAUUGAAGUGUUAGAAACAGUACAGGGACUGAAAAGCUACAAUAAUACAGGGACUGAAUUGAAGUGUUAGAAACCGUACAGGGACUGAAACAAAACGCAACCCUUAUCACCAAACCCUAAGUACAUAAACUAACUAAACCAGCAGCCUCCUUCCACUCACACUCUCUUCUCUCUCUUUCUCAGUUCAUCCUAACAUCAUUGUCUAUUUUUUAAAAAUAAUUAAAUUAAGCAGACAAAUGGCAGAGGCACUUUUAUCGCCAAUUUUGGAGCAGCUAACCACGGUCGUUGCUCAACAGGUAAUUACUUUUAUACAAUUUGCAAUGAUCUAAUUAACCCUUACAUGAAUAAGAAAUAUAAAAUUGAUCUCUUUUUCUUCCUUUAUAAGAAAAACAAAAUAAAAUAUCAAAUCCUCAGAUCUAGAUUUGGAUUUUAUUAAAGAAAUUUCUUUUUAUUGUUUUAUUAUUUUUCAUAUUUCUGGAAAUAAUCUAAAACAAAUAUUCUAAGAAGGAAAAUGGAGUUGUCGAUCCUCUCAUUAAACUGAACUACUAAGGGUAAAAUAAUCAAUGAAAUGUUAAAAUAAUAAGUUCCAUAAUCUUAUUUCCAAAUAGAUUUUACGAAUACCAACAAAUACAGAACCUUUUAUUCUCUAUAUUUCCAAGCUUAUGUUGUAUAUAGGUUUCUUCCUUCUUGUAUAGUAACAGAGUGCAGACAGAGAUAUCAUCAUGAUGAUGAUAAAAAGAAAUAUUAUUAUUUUUAAUAUAUUGGUUUUUAAUAAAUAUUUUAUAUGUAAAUUAUUAAUAUAGCCAAUCCAUUUCACAGUACGUGUCAACUACGUCCUGCAAAAAAAAGAUUAAUAAAAAUUAUAUAAUCUAUUAAUUACCAAAAUUAAAAUUAAAAACUUGUAGUGAAAUCAUGGAAAUGUUUCCUCUGCUUGAACUUCCUUAUCUUUUCCACACUAAUAGGUACGAGAAGAGGUGAGCCUAGUAGGGGAUGUGAAGAAACAAGUCGACAAGCUGAAAAGCAAUCUCCUUUCUAUCCAAUCUGUCCUUGAAGAUGCAGAUAGAAAACAAGUGAAGGAUAAGGCCGUAAGGGAUUGGCUAGACAAGCUCAAAGAUGUAUGUUAUGAUAUGGAUGACGUGCUAGAUGAAUGGAGCACUGCAAUUCUUAGAUGGAAAAUGGAGGAAGCUGAAGAAAAUACUCGCAGCCUACAGAAGAUGCGAUGUUCCUUAUCUCCUUGCUUUUGUCUCAAUCAAGUGGUUCUACGUCGCGACAUUGCCCUUAAGAUCAAAGAAGUUAGUGAAAAAGUGGAUGACAUUGCCAAAGAGAGAGUUGUGUAUGGCUUUGAUCUGUACAGAGCCACUUAUGAACUACAACGACUAACAAGUACCUCCUUUGUUGAUGAAUCAAGCGUGAUUGGUCGAGAUGUUGAAAAGAAAACUAUUGUAAGCAAGUUGGUGGGUGAAAGUAGUCAGGAAGCACGGGACGUUGAUGUCAUCACUCUAGUAGGGCUGGGCGGAAUUGGAAAAACAACUCUCGCCCAACUAGCUUAUAAGGAUGCUGAGGUUACGGCUCAUUUUGAGAAAAAGAUAUGGGUCUGUGUUUCAGAACCAUUUGAUGAGGUUAGAAAAAGCUAUCCUUGAGGCGCUUCAAAGGGGUGCACCGAAUUUAGUUGAAUUGGAAUCCCUUUUGCAAAGUGUUUCUGAAUCCAUUAAGGGAAAGAGGUUGCUUCUUGUCCUUGAUGAUGUAUGGACAGACAAUCAUAGACAAUGGGAACAACUGAAACCAUCUUUCACAGGCUGUGCACGAGGAAGCAGAAUUCUAGUGACCACUCGUAAGGGCACUGUGGCAACGAUUAUGGGAACUGACCACCAGAUCAAUGUUGAGAAAUUGUCCGACGAGAUAUGCAGGUCAAUAUUCAAUCAUGUGGCAUUCCAGGAAAGAAGCAAAGAUGAGCGCGAAAGAUUGACAGAUAUCGGUGAUAAAAUUGCUAACAAGUGCAAGGGCUUGCCGCUAGCUGCCAAGGUAUUAGGAGGUCUAAUGCAGUUUAAAAGAACAAGAGAAGAGUGGGAACGUGUUUUAUCUAGCGAACUGUGGGGGCUAGAUGAGGUUGAUAGAGAUCAGGUUGAAAGAGGAAUAUUUCUACCUUUGCUUUUGAGUUACUACGAUUUACCUUCUGUGGUAAGACGAUGUUUCUUGUAUUGUGCCAUGUUUCCAAAAGACUACGAGAUGCGCAAAUAUGAAUUGGUGAAGAUGUGGAUAGCUCAAGGUUACCUCAAGGAGACUUCAGGUGGAGAUAUGGAGGCUGUUGGAGAGGAGUACUUUCAAGUCUUAGCAGCGCGCGCUUUCUUCCAAGAUUUUAAGACGUAUGGUCGAGAAGAUAUUAGAUUCAAGAUGCAUGAUAUAGUGCAUGAUUUUGCCCAAUAUAUGACAAAAAAUGAAUGUCUAACAGUGGAUGUCAAUACACUUGGAGGAGCAACAGUGGAGACUUCAAUUGAAAGGGUUCGUCAUUUAAGCAUAAUGCUGCCCAACGAGACCUCUUUUCCCGUGUCCAUUCACAAAGCAAAAGGUCUUCGAAGCCUCUUGAUCGACACUAGAGACGCUUGGCUUGGAGCUGCACUACCUGAUGUAUUCAAGCAGUUGAGAUGCAUCAGGUCAUUGAAUUUGUCAAUGUCUCCAAUCAAAGAAAUACCAAACGAGGUAGGGAAAUUGAUACAUUUGAGACACCUCAAUUUGGUAGCCUGUAGAGAGUUGGAGUCCCUGUCAGAAACCAUGUGUGAUUUAUGCAAUCUGCAAUCCCUAGACGUUGCUUGGUGUGAUUCUCUCAAGGAAUUGCCUAAUGCGAUUGGAAAACUUAUCAAAUUGAGGCAUCUCCGGAUUUCUGGUUCAGGUGUGGCCUUCAUACCAAAGGGAAUAGAGAGGAUAACAGGUCUGCGAACAUUGGAUGGGUUUACUGUUUGUGGUGGUGGUGCGAAUGAAAGUAAAGCAGCUAAUCUAAGAGAAUUAAAAAACUUAAAUCGCAUCGGGAGUCUUGUUAUAUGGAAUCUACGAGGAGGUGAAGAAUAUGUGAGUGAUGCUGCAGAAGCACAACUCAAGAAUAAGAAUCGUCUGCUUUGUUUGCAAUUGGAUUUCAACUUCAACCGGGAGAACAACAUUUUAAUUGAAGUUUUACAGCCUCCGUCAGACUUGGAAAAUCUAACCAUAACUAGGUACGGAGGGUUGGAUUUGCCAAAUUGGAUGAUGACAUUAACCAGAUUACAGGUGCUUACACUCGGUCUUUGUACAAACGUGGAGGUCUUGCCUCCGUUGGGAAGAUUGCCCAACCUUGAAAGCCUGGUAUUGAGGUCGAUGAAGGUGAGAAGGCUGGAUGCUGGAUUUUUAGGUAUAGAAAAAGCUGCGAAUGCCAGUAUUAAUGAAGGAGAAAUUGCAAGGGUCACUGCUUUCCCCAAAUUAAAACAACUUUUGAUUAUGGGUCUCAAAGAAGUAGAAGAUUGGGAUGGAAUUGAAAGGAGAGUGGGAGAAGAAGAUGCCAACACAACUUCAAUAAUAUCCAUUAUGCCACAACUUCGAGAUUUGAUGAUUCUUGAUUGCCCGUUGUUGAGAGCACUACCAGACUAUGUUUUGGCAGCGCCUAUACAGGAACUACGCAUAAGAAGGUGCCCCAUUCUAACGAAUCGUUACGGGAAGGAGGAGAUGGGUGAAGAUUGGCAAAAGAUUUCUCACAUCCCUAAGAUUCAUAUUUAGAACCUGCUUUGAGUGUAUUAAUUAUUUGCUUUGGUGUUUGCUAAGGUUGAGUGUAAAAUAAUAUGAAAGCCUUGCCAUUUACUCUAUGUGACCUCUUUACUUAGAUGGAGGAUUUAUUGCAAGUCAAAUAUUUUUAUUUUUUAUAAAAAUUUAGUUCUUUAAAUAUAUUUUUCUAGUUUAAAAAUAUAAUAAAUUAAAAAAUUUAUAUACAACUAAUCAAAUAAAUUAAAAAUUAUUUAUGUUAAUAAAUAAAUAAAAAUUUAUUAAUAAUACUUAAAAACAAAACUGGUUCAAAGCCUUCAUUGAGCUCAAUGUAAAGAGGACCAACCUGCCGUCAUAAAAGCCCAAAAUACUCCAUUGUAAAAGCCCUCGUAAGAAAACACCUUCUUCUCCAACAAGAAAAGCGAAGUUAAAACCCCAAGUAAAUAUCCCUGUCUUUCUCUCCUACACGCUCGCAUUCUCAGUUUUUCAUCUCUGCGUCUUCAAGCAAUAAACCAUGGGUGAUAGCCAGUACUCCUUUUCUCUCACUACUUUCAGUCCUACCGGAAAGCUAGUACAGAUUGAGCACGCAUUGACUGCCGUUGGAUCAGGCCAAACUUCUCUCGGAAUCGAACGUUGUUGCAAUUUAAGCUCUCUCUCUUUUUUUUUUUUUUUUCUCAUUCUCUUGUCAUUUUCGAAUGUACUAUGUUGUUGAUGGGUGCUUAGAUACUAUGUUGUUGAUUUUAUAUUAUUUUUUUUGGAGUUGUAGCGGCAAACGGUGUUGUUAUUGCAACUGAGAAGAAAUUGCCAUCUAUUUUAGUCGAUGAAUCUUCUAUAAGUAAACAUUUAUUAUUUUCUUUUAUUGGUUUUGUUAUAUUCUUUGGUUGAAAUUCAAGAAACGCUUUUGUGUUUUUUGCGUUUUUGAUUGUGUUUUCUUUGUGAACUUUUCUGGUUGGCCAUGUGAUAUUUUAGUAAUAACAUAAGUAUAGAGACAUGGGUUUGUAGCAUUCUAAUUAAAGAAGCUGAUGAUUGUUGUGGAAAAGCAACGUGGAUUCUUGCCAAUGAGGUGUUGGUCUAGUAGUUAAUGGGUUUAUAUUGAGAUUCUUAGGAGUGAUUUGAGUUUAGUGACAUCGGCUGGUAGAAAUCUAUUCAAAUUCAGUGUAAAUUUGUAAUUUGUAUUAGUAAUUUGAGCUUAGUGAUUUGGGUUCUUGCCAAUGAGGCGUUACUAUACUAGUCAAUGACUCUAAGAUUGGGACUUUGAAUGUUGGAGUGUGUAGAUUUAUAUCCUCUUUAAUCCCACUUUGUAUAAAAAGGCGGUGUUGGUUAUUUUAAAUCGUGUUGAAUGAGGUGGAGAUGGUUUGAUUUUGGAGCCAGUUGAUUGGUCUCUUAUUCUAAUUUGCAAGAUGGUAUAUAACUUGAGUUGGUUGUUGAUGGUAUUUAAUUGCUUCUUGUUUCAGGUUCAGAAAAUACAGAAUCUGACACCCAAUAUUGGAGUUGUCUACAGGUUUGUUUCUGCCUGCUUCUCAGUAAUUAGGAAUUUCCAUUUUUUUAGCUUGUGUUAAUUCUUAACAGUGUUAAUUCUUAACGGUAAAAGAUUUUACCAAAUCUAUUUUAACAAAUCUAUUUCGGGCUAAUUCAGAAAAUGGAAUAGUCAUUUUAACUUUGUUUUUGAUUCUUGACUUUGUUUUUGAUUUACUAAUUCUUGUUUUGUUAACCAAAUCAUUUUACCAUUACUUCUUUUGAUAUAUUUAUUUUCUUCCGAUUUGGUUCUGCGUUGUGAUUUACUUCUUUGAUUGUAUUAAUUAUUUAUUAUUGAAGUAAGAAGAAAGGAAUUGAAUUUAGAAUGCUAAGUAAGCCAUGGUGGCAGCCGAGGCACAGACCUAGUAAUAUUAAUACAUUAGAACUAUAAUUUGUUGCUGCCCAGCUUGGAAGGUAUUAGUGUCACUUCCAAUGCAUGAAAUAAUUUAUUGCUGGAGGAGGAGCAGGGGCCCUAGCUGCUGUUUAAUACCGAGGCACAUUGUAAUUUUAAAAAAAUGUUUUUAAUUUUAUCUAAAGAUGUAUUAAAAUAUUUUCUUAGAUUUUUUUUAUUUUUUAUAUUAAUACAUUAAAACCAUGAAAAAAAAACACUAGAAAGGUAUUAAUUUAAUGUUUUUUUAAAAUCAAAUACACUUUUAAAAUACAUCAAAACACAAUUUCAAAAAUAAAAUUAAAAAGAUUUAUGAACCUUAUCAGCCCCAAGGUUGUGUUGUGCAUUUAUUAUUAUAAUGUCAGUCAUAUCAUAUAUCUCUUCAGACUAAUAUAUUUAUAGAAUUUAAAAAUUAAUUCUUUAUUUAAAUUAUUUGAAUAACUUGAUAGGAAAUGUCAUGGAUAAUUAUUAAAUUAAUUAAUUCUAAAAAUUUAAUUAAUUAAUUCUAAAAAUAACAAUAAAAAAUUUUUUAUGUCACAUAAUGGCAUUUGUCAAAACUUCUCUUUUAAAUUAGUUUAGAAUUUGAGUCAACGAAUUAUUAAACUCGGAGAGACUUGAAUGUAACUCUUAAGAUUUAUUUUUUAUUUUUUCAUCCAGAACAACCAACGUGGUUUUAGUAUUUUUUUAAAUUAUUCAUUAUAACGUUGGCAUCUUUGGAAGUAUAAUUAGGGUUGUUUUUCAAAGUAAUUUUUAUUUUAAAACAUAUUAAAAUAAUAUUUUUUAUUUUUUAAAAAUUAUUUUUGACAUCAGCACAUCAAAAUAAUCUAAAAACAUUAAAAACAUAUUAAUUUAAAAUAAAAAAAUAAAAAAAAUUUAAAUUUUUUUAAAACUACUUUCGAAACGCGAUACCAAGCAUUUUAGAGUUAAUCCAACUAUCCAAAUCAUGAUAAAAUAAAAUAAAAUAAAAGUCAAGCCAUGCAUACAAUAAUGCUUAUAUGUGAAUUUUUUUUUUAAUGAUCCCAAUACAUAUUUGAAGAAUAAAAAAAUUAGUUCAAAAUUUAAAAAAAUUAAAAUCUUUUAAAAAUACAACUAAUCCACAAAAAAAAAAAAUAAUUACACGGCACCUAUCACCAGCCACUAAGUGCCAUGGGCCAGCGCGCCCAUGGCCAGGCAAGGAGCUCCCCUGAAAAGCAACAUGUAGAAUUUAGGCGUAAUAGAGUGUCUGUAGACACUACUACUUAGGUACUAGCUAUCACGCACUUUAAUAAGUUCAAUUAUUAGUAUUUUUAGCUGAAAUAUUGCACAAAAGCUGGAAAAAGUCCAAUUAAGCUAUAGAAAAACCCAGAUUUUGAUUUUGCAAUACUAAAAUGUUGCAGAACGUUAAAAGUACGUGUUAACUGUGUAAACCAAUGGAACUGUGUAAAGGGGACUUAUGAUUAUGUUUAAAUGAAAUUUUUAAAUAAAUUGCGUACCUGCCACUAACUUUACUUGCUUUUGUCAUCUUAAUUUCUUUUCUUUCCAUUCAACCUUCGCCUAAAAAAAAAACAUGUAAUUAGGCUUUAAUUUCAGUUUAAUUGUUAAAAAAAAAAUUUAGGAAUUAAAUGAAAAUUUUUAAAAAAUUUCAUUGCUCAAAUCCACAAUAAAAUAUAAAAAAGUAAUAAUAAUUUAAUGAACAGUAAAAAAGUCACACGUUUUAGCUUUAAAUUUAAUAUUAAAGAUUUAUAUUUUUAAGAAAUUCAACAUAAUAUACUCAAUGGCUAGAAGCUUGGUGGCCAAGUUCAUAUCAUGAGUUUUCGUUUAUUGUCGAGGAUGAUUUGGAGGUUUCGCCGUUCUUUUAUAAAUAUGCGAGGGGUAUGAUUGCUAUUACAAUGUGUCGAAUUUUAGUCCUUUUUAUAUAUGAUAUGGUGCUUCACUUCAGCGUCCACGGUUUGUCCCAGGUUUUGUAUUUGUUAGACUGGAUGUUUUAAUGUUCAGUGUUAAGGUUUACAGAUUUCUUGAUUUGUUAUAUACUGGGUUUUUUUUGUCUUUCAUUUUCGUGAUCUUCUUUUUCUUCUUCUUGUUCUCUAAUGGUGUCUUUUUCAUCGAUCUUGUUGAUGCUGAGACUCAGGGUGUGCUUAGGAAUGCAGUACAAACCGUAUCUUAAAAAUUUUAAUUUUUUUAUUUAAAAUAAAUUAUUUUUUUAUUUUUUUAGAUUAUUUUGAUAUGUUAUAUCAAAAAUAAUUUUUAAAAAAUAAAAAAAAUUAUUUUAAUAUAUUUAUAAGUGAAAAGUACUUCAAACCGUUACGUCUUUAGCUUGAGUUUUGAAUGAAGGACGUUCUUGUGUGAAUACCAAGAGUUUUUGUUUUUUUUUUUUUGAUUUUAAUGUAUUAAUAUGAAAAAUAAAAAAAAAUUAAAAGACAUUAUUAUUCUAAUAUAUUUUAAAUAAAAAAACUUUAUACGUCCCUUGUAGACUCAGGUAAAAAGUUUUUUUUUUUAAAAGAAAUAAUUUAAUAAAAAUAAUAUUAUUUGAUUUUCUUUUAAAAAUAAUUAAACUUUUAAACUCUGACCCGAUGAAGUAAAGUUUUAAAAAUUAUGGUUAAAACUGGUUCAGCGAAGAGCUUUGGCCUGAAAAGGGGGAAAAGUCGACACUGCUUUCUCUCCUAAAUAGACACCGGAUGACUAUGACACCCUUGUUAUGGUAUCUGAUUCAGCGAAAAGGAGGGUAUUAUGGUAAUUGGAACAACCUGAAUCGAGAAUCUGAACCGCUGUAUUCCUACGCAAAGAUGCACACGCUACUGAUAACUCGGCCAUCUCAGUCGAUUACUCAAUGUAAUUAAUUAGAGCACUCUUUGCUGAUUAUUUCAAGAAGGGACAUCCUCUGCCCUUAUUUUUGAGUCACCAGCUAGCUACAAGUCUUCAAGCUUUGAAAUGGCUAAAAUGAGAAUAGCCUAAUAAUAAUAAUAAUAAUAAUAAAAAGCAACAACAGAGAAGAUAAAAUAAAGAAGACAUAAAAGCAGGGUAUCUACUCUAUAACUGGAAGAAAAUUAAUAGCAUUCAUAUCUAUUGUCAUGAUUAAUUAAGUAUUGAAAAAAAUUAUCAAGAAAAUUAAUAUCAUCAAGAAUAAAGAGUUCAAAAUGUUUGUUAAAAUUCAAAAAAAUGGUGAAAUGUCCUAUUUUUAGGGAUAAUGUCAAAAAUUUCAUUAAAUUUAAAAAAGUGAUGAAAUUUCAAAUCAUCAGGGAUUAACAUCAAAGUUUUAUUAAAAUUCAAGAAAUUAUGAAAUCUACUGUCUUUAGGUCUUCAGGGAUUAAUGUAAAGAAAAAUAAAAGAUUAAAAAAUUAAUGAAAUCUCCUAUUUUAGAGAUUGAAAAUGGCAAAAUUUCCGUUAAUUUUUUUUUAUUGAUAACAGUCAAGAUUAUAUAUAUAUAUAUAUAUAUUAAGGCUAGUGCUAUAAAAUGACAAGCUAUAAAAUCUUUGAUUUUUAGGGAUUAAUGUUAUUUUGAUUAAUGUUAUGAUUUUUAUAAAAUAUUGUCUAAAAAAGUAUUUUUUUGAAAAAAACCAGGGAUGCAUUAAUAAGAUAAAAAAUGGUUUUAAUUUGAUGGAUAUCUUUUUUAUUUUAAUCUCAAAGCAUUGUUUUUUUUUUAUUAUUUCUUUUCAAUAAAGAACAUAGAACAAAAAAGUUAUAUUGUUUUGUAGAAUAAUUAAAGAACAUAUGAAAAAAAAAGUUAUAUUUUAUCUCUUCGUUGCUAAAAUUAACAUCAUAUUUUACUAUCGUUGCACUACAAAAAAAAAAACAAUAUGUAAUGGCUCUUCAAAAUAUAUUUAAGGACACUUUUUAGUAAAGGCAGGUUCAUCUGCAUCGAUACGAGAGAGUUUUAUUUGCUAGGACAUGCCUUGUUGUAUGAUUUAUACAGUGUUUGAUUUUGUAUUUCAACAACAUUUAAAAAAAAAUUAAAUUUCGAAACACUACAAAAACUUAAAAAAAAAAAUGUUGAGACACUAAAAUACAAGCUUCCUUUUUUUUUUUUCCAACCUACAAGUUGUGCUCUCCAAAAACUAAUGAAAAAAAACUAAUAAAAACUAACUUAAUUUGAGACACUAAAAUAAAAAAAUGUUGAGACACUAAAAGUCUAAAAUACAAGCUUCACCUGCAACGCCAAACCCUAAGUAUAUAAACUAACUUCCAUUCACAAUCAUCAGCCGCCUCCUUCUCUUCACCCUCUCUUUCUCUCUGCUCAUCCCGUCAUCAUUGCUUCUCUCUCUCUCUCUCUCUCUCUCUCUCUCUCUCUCUCUCUCUCUCUCUCUCUUUCCAAUCAGAACUAAACAGACGAUGGCUGAGGCACUUCUAUCUCCGAUCUUGGAGCAGUUAACCACGAUCGUUGCUCAACAGGUAUUUUUCUACCAUCUGCAAUAACCUGAUUUACCUAGCAGAGAUAAGAAAUAUAUAUAAAGUUCAAGCCUUUUUUCUUCCUAUCAUAAAAAGAAUACUUUUAACUUGAAUAAAUAAAAAUAAUAUUUUAAAUCCUCAAGUAUAUAUUUGGAUUUUAUUAAAGAAUCUUCUUUUUCUUGUUUUAUUAUUUUUCAUAUUUCCAAAAAUAACCUAAAGAAAAUAUAUCAUUCCAAAUAUAGGAAAACCGAAAAAGGCAAAACAAGAAAUAUUAAGGGUAAAAUAAUCAAUAAAAAGUUCAAAGGAUUACCGAGCGAGUAUAUAUAUAUAUAUAAGGUAAAAUAUCUAUAGUUUAAUGUAAAAUAAAAACCAGAUUUUAUGUCGGUUCAAAGGAGAAAUCCUUCUCUCGGGAGAACAUUAAACUCUUUCCAUGCCUAUAUUAAUUAUAUAUAUAUAUAUAUAUAUAUAUAUAUAUAUAUACGUUCAGAAAUAUUUUAUAUAUAAAUUAUUAAUAUAGUCAAUCCAUUUCACAAUAAAAUAUAUUAAUACAAAAUAAUUAAUCUAUCAGUUGCCAAAAAUUAAGAAAUUGUGUUGAAAUCAUAGUAACGUUUCCUAUGCUUGAACUUCCUUAUCUUUUGUACACUAAUAGGUACAAGAAGAGGUGAACCUCGUAGGAGGUGUGAAGAAACAAGUCGACAAGCUGAAAAACAAUCUCCUCGCUAUCCAAUCUGUCCUUGAAGAUGCAGAUAGAAAACAAGUAAAGGAUAAGGCUUUAAGAGAUUGGGUAGACAAGCUCAAAGAUGUAUGUUAUGAUAUGGAUGACGUGCUUGAUGAAUGGAGCACUGCAAUUCUUAGAUGGAAAAUGGAGGAAGCUGAAGAAAAUACUCCCAGCCGAAAGAAGAUACGGUGUUCCUUCCUGGGAUCUCCUUUCUUUUGUCUCAAUCAAGUGGUUCAACGUCGCGAUAUUGCCCUCAAGAUAAAAGAAGUAUGUGAAAAAGUGGAUGACAUUGCCAAAGAGAGAGCUAUGUAUGGCUUUGAGUUGUACAGAGCCACUGAUGAACUCCAACGAAUAACAAGUACCUCCCUUGUUGAUGAAUCAAGCGUGAUUGGUCGAGAUGAUAAAAGGGAAGCUGUAGUAAGCAAGUUGCUAGGAGAAAGUAUUCAGGAAGCGGGGGACGUAGAGGUCAUCUCUUUAGUAGGGAUGGGCGGGAUUGGAAAGACAACUCUCGCCCAACUAGCUUUUAAUGAUGAUGAGGUUACGGCUCAUUUUGAGAAAAAGAUAUGGGUGUGUGUUUCAGAUCCAUUUGAUGAGGUUAGGAUAGGCAAAGCUAUCCUUGAGCAACUUGAAGGGAGGGCACCGGAUUUGGUUGAAUUGCAAUCCCUUUUGCAAAGGGUUUCUGAAUCCAUUAAGGGAGAGAGGUUCCUUCUUGUCCUUGAUGAUGUAUGGACAGAAAAUCAUCGACAAUGGGAACAACUGAAACCAUCUCUCACAGGCUGUGCACGAGGAAGCAGAAUUCUAGUGACCACUCGUAAACAUUCUGUGGCAACGAUGAUGGGAACCGGCCACGUGAUCAACCUUGAGAAAUUGUCUGAUGAGGUAUGCAGGUCAAUAUUCAAUCAUGUGGCAUUCCAGCAAAGAAGCAAAGAUGAGCGUGAAAGAUUGACAGAUACCGGCGAUAAAAUUGCAAACAAGUGCAAGGGCUUGCCUCUAGCUGCCAAGGUAUUAGGAGGUCUAAUGCAGUCUAAAAGAACAAGAGAAGAGUGGGAACGUGUUUUCUGUAGCGAACUAUGGGGGCUAGAUGAGGUUGAUAGAGAUCAGGUUGAAAGAGGAAUAUUUCUACCUUUGCUUUUGAGUUACUACGAUUUACCUUCUAUGGUAAGACGAUGUUUCUUGUAUUGUGCCAUGUUUCCAAAAGACUACGAGAUGCGGAAAUAUGAAUUAGUAAAGAUGUGGAUAGCUCAAGGUUACCUCAAGGAGACUUCAGGUGGAGAUAUGGAGGCUGUUGGAGAGCAGUACUUUCAAGUCUUAGCAGCGCGCUCUUUCUUCCAAGAUUUUAAGACGUAUGAUCGAGAAGAUGUUAGAUUCAAGAUGCAUGAUAUAGUGCAUGAUUUUGCCCAAUAUAUGACAAAAAAUGAAUGUCUAACAGUGGAUGUCAAUAACCUUCGAGAAGCAACAGUGGAGACUUCAAUUGAAAGGGUUCGUCAUUUAAGCAUGAUGCUGUCAAAGGAAACCUAUUUUCCCGUGUCCAUUCACAAAGCAAAAGGUCUUCGCAGCCUCUUCAUCGACGCUAGAGACCCUUGGCUUGGAGCUGCACUACCUGAUGUAUUCAAGCAGUUGACAUGCAUCAGGUCAUUGAAUUUGUCAAUGUCCUUAAUCAAAGAAAUACCAAACGAGGUAGGGAAAUUGAUACAUUUGAGACACCUCAAUUUGGCAGAUUGUUAUAAGUUGGAGUCCCUGCCAGAAAUCAUGUGUGAUUUAUGCAAACUGCAAUCCCUAGACGUUACUACAUGUCGGUCUCUCUGGGAAUUGCCCAAGGCGAUUGGAAAACUUAUCAAAUUGAGGCAUCUCCGGAUUUGUGGUUCAAUUGUGGCCUUCAUGCCAAAGGGAAUAGAGAGGAUAACAUGUCUUCGAACAUUAGAUUGGUUUGCUGUGUGUGGUGGUGGUGAGGAUGAAAGUAAAGCAGCUAAUCUAAGAGAAUUAAAGAACUUAAAUCACAUCGGAGGGAGUCUUAGAGUAUAUAAUCUACGAGGAGGUUUAGAAGGUGCGAGAGACGCUGCAGAAGCACAACUCAAGAAUAAGAAGCGUCUGCGUUGUUUGCAAUUGUAUUUCGACUUCGACCGGGAGAACGACAUUUUAAUUGAAGCUUUACAGCCUCCGUCAGACUUGGAAUAUCUAACCAUAUCUAGGUACGGAGGGUUGGAUUUUCCAAAUUGGAUGAUGACAUUAACCAGAUUACAGGAGCUUACACUCGAUUAUUAUGUAAACCUGAAGGUUUUGCCUCCGUUGGGUAGAUUGCCGAACCUUGAAAGCCUAGAAUUACGCGGGUUGAAGGUGAGAAGGUUGGAUGUUGGAUUUAUAGGUAUAAAAAGUGUUAAUGAAAGAGAAAUUGCAAGGGUCACUGCUUUCCCCAAAUUAAAAAAACUUUGGGUUUUGAAUCUCAAAGAAGUAGAAGAGUGGGAUGGAAUUGAAAGGAGAUCAGUGGGAGAAGAAGAUGCCAACACAACUUCAAUAUCCAUUAUGCCACAACUUCGACAGUUGACAAUUCGUAAUUGCCCGUUGUUGAGAGCACUACCAGACUAUGUUUUGGCAUCGCCUCUACAGGAAAUGGUCAUAAGCAUUUGCCCCAUUCUAAGGAAACGUUACGGGAAGGAGGAGAUGGGUGAAAAUUGGCAAAAGAUUUGUCACAUCCCUUACAUUUCUAUUUAAAGAAUAGUUAAGACACCGCUACGUAAGUAAAAAAUAAUGUGUUUGAUAAUUGUUUGGGAACGCUGUCCAAUGUGUUUUCAUAAAUUUUGAAAUUUUUUUUUUAAAAAAUAAUUUUUUUAUGUUUUUAGAUUGUUUUCGUGUGUUGGUAUCAAAAAUAAUUUUUACAAAAUAAAAAAAAUAUUAUUUUGAUGCAUUUCUAAGUGAAAAGCACCAAGGUUGUCAAAAACACAUUUUUGACACGACACGGAAUAUACAAUAUAAACUUGGAUCGUAAACUCAAAUCGUAAAAUCAUAAAAUCGUAAGUAAAAGUGAAAUAAAGUAAUAAACAAUACAAAUGUCCAAACACUUAAAAUACAUGAUUCAAAUAAAAAUUUAUAAAUAGUUUAAAUAACUUUAAAAUAUAAUACAACAAUUAUGUCCAUAGAAUUUUAUUAACUAAAAAUUAACAAACUUAAAACAAAUAAUAUAUUGGUGUGUCAUAUAAACUAAACAUGAUCUCAUUGCCUUGAUCUUCAUAAGGAUGUAUAGUGCUGAGAAUUGAAUAAAAUACAACAAAAAAACCAACAUAUAAAUACAGGGAAAACACAACCAUCCCUUGCAGCAGCAGCUAAUGCAGGGUUAUCUUCAAUUCGAAAGUCCCUCCUACACCAAACAAUGGUCUUACUGCUACCCAUUAGGAUCAUAACCCCUUUUGCACCAGAAGAUAAACAAAUAUAAACAAGCUCCUGGAUAACAAGCUCCUGGUUAUUAUCCAGGAUAUAUAAGAGAAGUAAGAAUUGGGAACAGGUAAAUUCCAGUUUACCACAUACUACAAGAACACCAACUCUAAAACUACACCUUUGCAUCAGAGACACCCCCACCUUCUGUAUAAUAGAGGAGCACUCCUCUAGAACCUUCAAAGACAAAUCAUUGCAGGCACCUCUCUCUGUUUAACCUAAUAUUCUUCAACUAAUUCUUUUAACUCUAUGUGCAACAAGAAGAUGAGAUAUCAUGUGACUGAAGAAUCAAUAUAUAUACCAAAAUUCAGGACAGUAUUAAGCAUUCAUUUCAUGCUCUGCCCUUCUAGUGGGAAUUGCAAUAAAAAGGAAGAUGGGUUUUGAAGCUAUAUAUGAUGUAGCAGCAUUGUAGCAACCAGAAACUGAAAGCAACCAUUUGAAAGCAACAUAUUUGGUACCGUCUAUCAGAUUAGGACACAAACAUGCAAAGAUUGCAAAAACCCAAUAUGGCAAUAAAUAUAUACACACAUACAAGACUUGUCAGCACAGUUAAUAAGGCAUGCGAAAUUACAAAAGAGAAAAGAUCUUAUGAUUCAGCAAAUGAGCAAAUGUUAAUAUGACAGGCACUCAACUCUUAUUCUAUAUCAGACACUUCGUCGCCAUGGAUGAGGGGAAAAAGAAAAGAUUAACAGAAAAUAAUGUGUUUACCUGGAAGAUUUUCAACACCAGGAAGAUUUUCAGCACAAAUUGCAAGAUUAACAGCAAGUUCAAGAUUAUUUAACUGCCAAAUCACCCAAAAAUAAUAUAAGAUUGAUAACCCAAAAAUGAUAUAAAACAUGAUAGAGAAGGAGAGAAUCAAGCAAACCUGGCCACUAAUGAAAUAAUCCAGCAACCAAACCUGGCCACUAAUGAAAGAAUCCAGCAAGCAAAGCUGAGAGAGUGGAGACUGGAAACUGGAGACCGGAGAGGCGGAGAGGCGGGCCUGUUAACGGCGAAAUAAAGAAAAAAAUGGGGUUUUUGAGAGAAAGAAAGAGAGUGGAAGGCGUUGGCUUCUGCUGGGUUUAAGAUUUGAGAAUCAGAGAAUGUGAGAUCUGCUUCUGCUAGGGUUGAAUUUGAGAAUCAGAGAAUGUGAGAUUUGGGGGAAGCGGAAAGGAAAAAGGGGAAUUUUGUGAGACUAACGGGAUGGAUAGGAGAGGAUUGAGAACAGUGAGAAGAUUCAAUGGUUUUUGUUAAUUCUAUCGAACUCGGUAAACUCGGUUCGAGUUUACCGAGUUCACCGAGUUUGACCAAGUUUACUAAUUUUCAAGUUUUCUACCCGAUUUCACACGGUAUAUCUGAGUUGACUCGUAAAAUCGUAUGAUUUUACGAGUCAACUCGCAAGUUUGACAACCAUGAAAAGCACUAUGAACCGCCACCGCUGCUAUAAUUUCAAACAGGCAAGCUUUUCAAAUUGAGGUAAUAAAAUAACUAUAAAAGACAUAUAUUAAUAUUGAUGUUUUUUAGUUGAAAUAUUGUAGAUUUAAUUUCUGCUAUUACAUCAUAAAACAAACAAUACUUUAUAUAAAAUAUUUUUUAUUGUUUCAUUAAACUAUCUGUAAUUUCAUCACGUACGAAAUUCAUCCUGCCUUGACUAUAGUUUCCAUUGAUUUUAGAGUGUGCAACAACAUCAGGUAAAAUCUCAUCAGGAACAUAACUGGAAUUGUGAUCAAAUUUUGUAAAUGCAACGUCAUCAUACGAUCUCCUUCUAAUAUAAUUAUGUAGUGCCAUUGAUGCCAUUAUAAUUUCAACUUGCGUUUUGUAUGGAUAAGCAAGCAUGUUUUGUAAAAUCCUUCACCUUUGUUUCCAUACUCCAAAAGAACGUUCUAAGACAUUACGUAGCGAUGAGUGUGCUCGAUCAAAAACUUCUUGCCGAUUUCUUGGUUGUCCACGACGCCUAAAAUCUUCUAAGUGAUAUCUCUCACCUUUAUAUGGACCUAAAUAAUCAUACUCAUUGGGAUAUCCAACAUCAACUAAAUAGUAUUUACUUGUAAUUACAAACAACAUUCAAAUUUGUCAUGUAAUUAGUAAAUAAUAAACAAAUUUUUAUACUUAUAAUUACAUAACAAGUUCUGUUGUAUAACUACCUUCUGGUGGUUUAUGAAAUUUUAUAUUUCUAUUCUCAAUAGCCUCAAGAAAAAUACGUGUAUCGUGGGCACUACCUUCCCAUCCUGCCCACAUAAACAUGAACUGCAUGUCAAAACUACAAGCAACCAUUAUGUUUUGAGUCGAUACACCUUUUCUUCUGAUAAAUGGAAUUUGAUUUUCAGUUGAUAUGCAAGCUCACACAUGUGUUUCAUCAAUUGCACCAAUACAAUUCUACAUGAAAACCAUUGAUAAUAUGAUGUCGUUACUUACUAACAUGCAUAAAACAAUUUUUCUUUGAAUAAUAACAAUAUUAACAAAUCUUUUUCUUACCUUGAAAUGAGGCAUAUAUCUUGGAUUCAUUGCAAUUUCUCGUGGAGUGCUUGUAAAAUUCAAGUCCUUUGGUUUUAUGACAUCUAUUGCAAACAAACAUACUGCUGCGAGGACUUCUUUAAUGCAUCUACUAACAGUUUCACCUGAAUGUUGAAAUCGCUCUUGAACCUCUCUAUUUGGUGCUCCUUGUGCUAUUGUAUCUAGAAAUAUAGCCACUUUUUCAAUCACACUCAUCCUUCUCGAAGGCUUUAACCCAUACUUUGUUUCUAAAUCACUGCACAGGCUAAACAAAGUUCAUGUGUCCAUUCUAAACAGGUUGACACAUCAUUUCCAAUGUCCUCGUAAAACUUCAGUUAACCAACGCAUGCAUGUAUUAUAUGAAACCAUGCACGGUUCUUUAUGCAUAUAAUUAAUAUAAUACAUGUUUAUUGCCCCAGCUGUGCACACAACUAACUUCUUCAUAUCAAAAUCUCACUUCCAAAAUGAUUCAUCAUCAUCAUCAUCACUAUCGUCGUCGUCGUCGUCAUCAUCAUUGUUGUCGUCAUCAUUUUCCCCGUCAUCACCAUCCUCUCCCGAGCCACCGUUGUCAUCAUCACCACGAUAAUUAAUGUGAUCAACAACACGAUCCAUUAUGUUUUCAUAAUCAUCAUCAAGAUCUUUAUUGAAUAUUGCAUUAAAAAGCGCAUCUUCCAUAUGUAUAAUGCUAAAUAAAUAAACAAAUGAAUAAUGUUAAACCCUAUUUUUUCAAAUAAAACAUAAUAUCUGAUGGUAUACUUUAUCGUUUAAUUUUACACCACGCAAAUAUUACAGUCUACGUCUUCACACUAGAAAAAAUAUUGGAAAAAAAUGUUUUUGGAAAGUAUUUUUUUUAUUUGUUUUUUUUACUGGGUCGGACCCGAAAAAAAUGUUGGUUUAGAUUGUGAACAGUGGAGACAGGCAAAUGCAUCAGCAGAAGAAGAAGGAGAAGGGGGAGAGGACGCUACCCUGUACGAUGGCGAAGUAUGGUUGGCGGUGGCAACGACGAAGGCUAGUGGUGAACUAAGAGACGGUUUUCCUUUGUCCCUGCUCUUCUUCCUUCUCCCUGUUUCUGCUACGCUUUUUUUCUAUUUCGGACAGUUUUCUCCCCGUUGAUGAUGGUGCUGUUGUUGUCAACAAUGACUCCAGACGGUUAUUAUGGCGACGAUGAGGAAGGUUGACGGUGGUGGCCUUGUUUUUAUCCCGUGGUUGCCUCUGUUUUUCGUCUGAUUCUGCUCUUCUUCCUUCUUUCUGUCUCUGCUACGUUAUUUUCCUGUUUCAGACGGUUUUCUCCCCGCUGAUGGUGGUGCUGUUGUUGUCGACAAUGACGCCAGAUGGUUGUUGUGGCGGCGAUGAGGAAGGUUGGCGGUGGUGGCCCUGUUUUUAUCCCUUGGUUGCCUCUGUUUUCCUCUGAUUCUGCCCUUUUUCCUUCUCUCUGUCUCUGCUGCGUUCUUUAAGCGUUUCUGACCAGUUUGUUCUUUUUUUUACUUCUUGUUUUCCCUUCAUUCUGGUUCGUCACUUCUUUCUACCCUUAUAUUUAUUAUUCUGCAAGGUUGUAACCCAUGUGAAAGAUUGUGAAAGGUUCUAUCGCAAUGUACCAUGUGAAAAGUAUUACUGCAAUGUAUUUUUGUCACCAUGUAAAAAGUUUUCAUAUCUCUGCAAUUUACACCAGUUAGAUGGUUGUUGCUUGUUGCAUGUGACUUGUUGCAUUUCAAAUCCUUGCAUUUCAGAUUCGUGCUAUUCUUGCAUCCUGUGAUUUCUUUCUUUUUAGUUUUUUUUAUUAUGUUUAACAUUUUGUAUACUCUUUCCUUUUCCUUCUUGUUAAUCCACAUCAAUUAUAUUGUUGAUUGCAUCGUCAAUUUUUUAUAAAUGGAUUUGUAAUCGGAUUUCUUGAGCAGUGGAAUUUGUAAUUGAAAAUUGUUCUGUCGAUUAAAACACAACCCUUUGUUUGCAUUGUCAACCAAUGGCAUUCAUAAGCAUAUUUUGUAAAAUCUAAAAGCAUUGUCCACAUCAUAUGGCAUUAAUAUUACAUAGUAUUUUUCCCGAUCGCAAUUCAUAAUACUCAACAAUUAUCGAAUAACUUUACAACUUUUAACUAUAUUAAUAAACAAUCCAUAACAUGAAUAUAAUAAAUAUUAAUGCUCCAUAACCUAAUAACCUAACUGAAUGCAAAUAGUGUCUCCUAAUAAUGUGAAUUGUUAAAAUUACAAAUAGGAUCCCGAACAAACAUAGAUGAAUUUAUUACUCAAUAUCAUCUUUAGAUAUUUGCAAAUUUAAAUAAUUGACAAGAAAUUUAAAAACAUGUUACAUAACAAUUUAGAUAAUAAUAUUACCAACAAAUAAAUGAAAGCAUGCAUUUGGGAUCAAUAUAUACCUCUCUGUUUAAGGUGCUUUACGUCAUGUAUGCAUUCUCUACAACCAUUUCAUCUUGUUUUCAAGAUUACCCAUAGUUAACCACAUUUUUCUAUUCCUUCUCAAACCUAAAAACUCAGCAGCAAACUCAUGAAAAUCAUCACCAAUAUAAACUCCUUCAAUUGAGUGAAGCUUGGUCAUAACCUCAAGAAUACUACAUCUUUACCUAUCUCUAUUGAUAGAUGUUGAAUCACUAUUGUUUGACAUGCUGUCAACCAUUUGAUCCCACCGUAACAGUAAUUGCAACCCAAUUCCAGAACUUUUUUUUUCCCCAACUUGAACCUCAGAACAUUCUCUUUCUUUUCUUUUUCCAUUGUUGCAUGUGUUGCUACUGCUGGACAUAUUAACCCCCUCUAACCAUGUUGCAAACAUCAUGGUGAAAUUUGGAAUUCCAUCCUCUUCUGAAUCACCGCUUCGCACUUGUUAGCAAUUUUAUCACUGAUUCUGUCAAUCUUUCGCACUCAUCUUUGCUUCUUUUAUGGAAUGCCACCUGAUUGAAUAUUGACCUGCAAACCUCAUCAGACAUUCUCUCAAGGUUGAUCAUGUGCUCGGUUGCCAUCAUGGUUAACUCAGAAUGUUUACGAGUGGUCACUAGAAUUGGUGCACCGCCUUUAAGAGAUAGUUUCAGAUGUUCCCAUUGCCCAUGACUUUCUGUCCAUACAUCAUCAAGGACAAGAAGGAACCUCUUUCCCUUAAUUCAUUCAGAAACACUUUGCAAAAGGGAUUCCAAUUCAACUAAAUUCGGUGCACCCCUUUCAAGCGCCUCAAGGAUAGCUUUUGCUAUCCUCACCUCAUCAAAUGGAUCUGAUACACACACCCAUAUCUUUUUCUCAAAAUGAGCCAUAACCUCAGCGUCAUUACAUGUUCAAAAAUCUCAGAAAUAAUAUCAUUCAUCAGGUACAGAAAAGAACAUAAUGACCGGUAAGGUAGUUAUAAUUAAUGAGAGAUGUAAGGACUCAGAAAUUUAUUACUGUGAAAAGAAGAAACAUUUACCAUCAUUCUAAUUACAGUUAGCCAUCUUUAGCAAGUAAAAAAAGCCAACCCCGUGUAAAGAUAGUGACUGCAACCUCUGAUGCAAUCUAAAUUUGGUGUAUCUUCAUCCUCAAUCUUUUCUGAAAAAUAUGAAAGUGUAUGAAAGAAAGAUUGUAUGAAUUCAGAGAGAAGAAACAGGUAAUAUCAUCAUGAGCAUCUGAAGUGGCUUCUAGAUGUGUUUUUUGUAAUAAAAGCCUGGAAUCUUCAAGUCACCUCUUCAUCCAUCCACUGCCACUUUGCUUGGCAUCUAUGAAUGAAAUUCCUUUCACGAUGGGGUAUUAACAGUGUUUUUUCAAAAUCUGUUGUUUGUAUGUGCUACCAAUGAUUUUCUAUGGUGAAAGGCAAUCAACAGAAUCUCUCAUGACAGCUUCUCUUCUCCUGCAUUGUGUGGAAUCUUUAGCUUCAUCAGAAUGAUAUCAUCUUUAAUAGGGCUGCUCCAAAUCUUCAAAGCUGUUUUUCCUUGAUCUUCCGCAGUUUCUCAUUUUCUUCAGACUCUGCUGGCGAGGAUGUUCAUAACAGCUAUGAUGGCAUUGGUUUUGUAAAAAGGAGGAGCUGAUUUCAAUUGUUUUUUUCCUUUUCCCACACUGUUUUCCUUCCCCUGUUUCAAAACCUCUAAAGCUUGUUUGCUUUUUUUUUUUUGGUCAGCUAGAACUUCUGGAUGCUAGGCUAUUAUCUUUUUAGCCAUUUUCUUAUAAUACACUCGACUAUUAUAAGAAAAAAUGCAUCUGAAGUGGCUGAAUAUAUAAGCUUCGGUUCCAUCUCCAUCAGCAUCAAAUGCACCCGAGCUAUUGGUGAGCAGCGCCAACGAGAGGGGAAAAUAAAAAAUACCAUCCAGCAUUUACUCUAACCUUCCAACUCAUAUAUUCACAGAACUUUCAAUCUUGCCUUGCAUAGAAACCAACAGUGAACCUUAGUGGAGAGGUGACUCGCAGAAACUUAAAAAGCGGAAUCCACAUGCAGACAGUAACUCGGCCAACUCAGUCGAUUACUCAAUGUAAUUAAUUAUAGCACUCUUUGCUGAUUAUUUCAAAAAGGACCUCCUCUAGCCUUAUUUGAGUCACCAGCUAGCUACAAGUCUUCAAGCUUUGAAAUGACUAAUGGCGUACGGCGUACCACUCUGCCACUGGUAAGGAAAAGAAAUCUCUUUAAAGUCACCAAGGAACUUUUUUUUUUUUUACAACAGUGGAGAAUUUUAUUAAAAAUUUGGCUAUAAAGAGAAUAGCUUAAUAACAAAAAAAAAAAAAAAAGCAACAAAGAGAAGAUAAAAAAUAAAGAAGACAUAAAAGCACGGUAUCUACAACAGGAAGAAGAAAACAGGGACCAGACAAUAGAUAAAAACAAGAAGUCAACUUCUGUUAUCCCCGAAAAAGAUCCCAUCAGAGUUGAUCCCUAAAUCCAAACCGGUGUAAGCAGAAGUUGUGCUAUCAAACUUCAACCAUAAGGAGAACCUGUGGAGGAUAAAGUAAAAACAACCCUUAAGAUCUGGAAUAGCAUCAUUGAAGAUUACAUCAUUUCAAUGUAGUCAUAGACGCCAUGCAAUACAAGAAAAGAGAAGUUGUUAUCAUGAAAGAUUCUGAAAUUUUCCUUGCAUCAUUUGUAGCACAUAUCAUCAAUAGAAUUUGGGAAAGAAUUACUAAUACCCCACCAAAAUAGGAAUUUCAUUCAUAACUUCCAGGCAAAAACACGAUGAAUGAAGAGAUGGCUUGAAGUUUCAAAUCUUCUUUUACAAAACAUACAUCUAGCUUGCUGAAGAGAAAAGAAAUCAUGCUGAAACAAGAAAUCACCGAUGAAGACUUUAUCUUGGAUAAGCAGCCAAAGAAACAAUUGAACUCUUUUUUUUUUUUUUGGGGGGGGGGGGGGUAACGAUACUAAAAACCGAAAAGGUUAUACACCACCGUAAAGCAAUUAAUCCAAGAAAUGGGAACUGGAUUUUACUGUAUAAAAACCAUUUUACUAUGCAACAAAUUUUUUUUAGGGAUAACGUCAAAAUUUUGUUAUAAAUUAAAAAAUUAAUGAAAUUUUCUAUUUUAGUGAACAUCAUUAAAAUUUUCAUUAGAUCUUAAAAAGUGAUGAAAUCUUGUAUCUUAAGGGAUUAACGUCAAAGUUUUUAUUAAAAUUCAAGAAAUUACAAAAUCUACUAUUUUUAGGAAUUAAUAUAAAAAAUUUAAUAAAAUCUCCUAUUUUAGAGAUUGGUUUUUAUAACCGUGGAGAUUAUAUAUAUACAUAGCAAGGCUAGUGUCAUAAAAUGACAAGCUAUGGACUCUUUGGUUUUUAGGGAUGAGAAUAAUUUUUACAAGUUUUUUAUUCUAAGAAACCGGUGUCUAUUCUUAAAUAAAUUAUAAAUAAAAAUAUAAUAGCAUAAAAUAAUUUAGAAAAACAUAAACAAUGAUAAUUUUUUAUUUAAAAGGUUAUAGUAAAGGUGAUGUUAACCUAAUAUCUGAAUCUUUAAAAAUCCCCAACAAUUUUAGAAUUUCUAAUUUUCUUUGAUUAUUAGGUUUCGACUCUCUUCGUUGCAUUGGUCACGGUGUGUUGCUAAAAUUAACAUCAUGUUUUACUAUCGUUGCACUACAAAAAACAGAAAACAACAUGUAAUGGCUCUUCAAAAUAUAUUUAACGACACUUUUAGUGUCGCUAAAUAUUUUCAAUCUGCAACAGAAUUAUCACAAAUGGUCACUAUAUAUAGUGUCAUAAUUAAGUUAUGCAGUGACACCGAACCCCCUAUAAAAAGAUUGAAGAUCCAAUUUAAUAAUCUGAGGAAUUGAAAAUUAAGGAUUCAAUUUAAUAAUUUAAAGAAAUUUGAUAUGAUUUAUUACUUUCAAAUUAUAUGGACUCGGGUAAAACUUGGUUAAAUAUUAUUGAUUUUUUUUUUUGGAAAAACAAUUUUGGUAAAAAGAUGUCAUUUUAAUCCCUUUAAAUAAAAACUAUUUCAUUGAUGGUAUAUAACUUGCAAGAUAGUAUAGACAUUCAUUACAAGUUAGUUGGGGAUUGUUGGUGUAAUUUAUAAAUGAAUAAAAAAAGAAAUGAUGUCUAUCCCAAAUUAGAAAAAAACACUCCCUCUUAAUGUUUGUAAUUAAGUGUGGGUUUCUAUUGUGUAGUAAAUUAAAUCAUGAUAGAAGAACUCUCCUAGUGGGCUUUCUAAUAUUAUUAUAUAGAUAUUUAUAAUAUCAAAAGAUGACACUUGGAACUUGGAACUUAAUAUAUCAGUGAGAUUAAUUCACCAUUGAAUUAAUUCUCGUAAUUAAUUAUGACAUUUGUGACUGUUGAGAUAAAACUGAAUAAUAAUUAUUCGAUUUAAUUUAAAGUGUAACUCUUUUAUGAACAAUCAUAUUGUUUAAUCAAUAGUCGUACCGUUUCAUCAGCAGUCAUGCCGUUUCAUCAGCAAUCAUAUUAUUUCAUGAACAAUCAUAUUGUUUCAAGUCUAUAAAAACAUGUUACUACACAAAAAAAUCAUAUACAACAAAAAUAUAUAUUCUUUUCUUGGUCUCAUCUUCUCAUUCUUUUAGAGGACUUAGGCUGUGUUUGUUUUCCGCUAGCUUUUGCGCUUGCGGUGAAACCAACGCAGCAAGGUGUUUGGUAAAAACCAAACUAUGUUUUAUGUUGCGAGGCCCACUAAAAAAUUGAGUUUGAAAAACAGUUUUUACAUGUUUUUUUAACUGAGUUUCGUAAAAAUUCCUAAAACCCUAUUUGUUUUGCAUUUCAAAAGCGCUUUUGAAAAAAAUUAAAAAAUUUUAUUUUUUUCUUUACUUCAAAUUAAUAUUUUUUUAUGUUUUCAGAUCAUUUUGAUGUGCUGAUAUCAAAAAUAAUUUUUUAAAUAUAAAAAAAUAUUAUUUUAAUAUAAAAGACACUUUGAAAAGCAACCGCAACCACACUCUCAAACACAACUAUCAAAUAUUUUAUACAUGUUUUUUGUUACACAUAAACUUCAACCAUAUUUUUUACCAAACACGUAUCUAAAUCUAACUAAUCACAGCAAACUGCAUAUUUUUAAAUUUUUUUUUUUCAAAUCACAAUCACAAAAUUAUCUAAAACACAAACAUUUAAAAUAAACACUUUAAAAACAAUAUUUUCACACCUUUAAGCUACCUUCCUAUUUGUUUCCAUUCUAAAUAUUUUCAAGAGUACAUGUACCCUGUUGCUGUUUAAACAGAAAAAGAAGAAGAGGGGGGACAAAUAUGCAGUUCCUUAGAAAAAUAAAAAUACGGCAUUCAUCUGUACUUGGGUUUGAAAUAAGACAUCUUGGCUAUUUGGUUGCUCAAUGAUCCACUUCUUACUAACUUCUGCAACUUACUAGCCUCUGUCAAAAAGGGUUGCUCUGCUCUACUUUUUUCCUGCAGAAAGAAGAAGAAGAAGAAGAAGAAGAAGAAGAAAGGAAGGUGAUUGAGUCCAGACAAUAUGAAUCCUUUCCUCCAGAAAAUCUUGCUCAUUUCUUGGCCUUUUCACACCCAUUGAAAGGAGCUCCAAUCACACAAACCAGCAAUCCUUCCAAACUUUUUCACAUGAUCAGCACACGCAACUGAUAUCCACACAGCCCCAGAGCCUGUAGCUGCCGCCAACAAAACCCCAGCAUCCUCUCCAUGAAUAAACCAAAACACAUCCCUGCCACCCCCUGCUUAUCCACUAAUAACUCCUUAAACUACCCAGAUACAUGACUUCCAUUUUUAGACCCAAAAAUCAAAGAUCAAUAUCAAACCCCAGUCCCUGCUAUGAAAACAGGAUAAAAUCACCUGAUCUCAAAAACCCAGAUAGAUAGAUGCUUGUUUAUAGUUCCAUUACACAAGAGCUAAUUGGUUACUACUUUUGGUUUGGGUAAAUUAGUUUGGAUGGACAGAUAUAUAUUACCGUGAUCCAGUUUGGAAGAUCAGUGGAAUAACAUAAAAUGAAGAGAAGAAAUAGAGAAGCAGAUGAGAAGCAGGAAUUUCAGUAGAAUGCUAUAAUCAGUUGUCCAUAUCAGAUACAUUUCAGUAGAAACUACAGCAUUCUUAACCUAAGGUCAGUAUCAAUCCAAAAUAAUUGCUAUAAAUCGAAGAAGAAAUUACUUUCCACAAAUAAUAAUCCUUAGCCUAGAACUCGGUAGAAUUGAAAAGCACGAGUGUUUCACCUUUGGAACUCAAAAUGGCAUGUCAUUCUCAGUAGAAACAUACAACCAGGAAAAGCCAUCCGCAGUAAGUAACCCCUGACCGAGACUAGACUGAAAAGUUCAAUAAUAUAGGGACUGAAUUGAAAUGUUAGAAACAGUACAGGGACUGUAACAAAAUUCAACCCUCAUCACCAAACCCCAAGUACAUAAACUAACCCUCUCUCUUCAUUUCACAACCAGCAGCCUCCUUCCCCUCACACUCUCCUCUCUCUCUCUCUCAGUUCAUCCUAUCAUCAUUAUCUCUUUUUUAAAAAUAAAAUUAAACCAAACAGAAAAAUGGCAGAGGCACUUUUAUCGCCAAUUUUGGAGCAGUUAACCACGGUCGUUGCUCAACAGGUAAUUACUUUUAUACAAUUUGCAAUGAUCUAAUUAACCCUUACAUGAAUAAGAAAUAUAAAAAUUUAAGUCUUUUUUUUCUUCCAUAAUCUUAUUAUAGACUUUACAAAUACCAACAAAUACAGAUUCUUUUAUUCACUUUCCUUUUAUUCCUUUUAUAUAUUCUUUGAUCCGCCAAGCUUAUGUUAUAUAUAGGUUUGACGUCGAACAAUUUAAGAUUUAUUUUUUUCCUUCUUGUAUAGUAGCAGAGUGCAGACAGAGAUAUCAUCACGAUCAUGAUAAAAAGAAAUAUUAUUAUUUUUAAUAUAUAGGUUCUUCAUAAAUAUUUUAUAUAUAAAUUUAUAAUAUAGCCAAUCCAAUUCACUGUACGUGUGAACUAUGCGGAAAAAAGAUUAAUAAAAAUUAUUUAAUCUAUUAAUUACCAAAAAUUAAAAUUAAAAACUUGUAGUGAAAUCAUAGAACUGUUUCCUCUGCUUGAACUUUCUGAUCUUUUCUACACCAAUAGGUACAGGAAGAGGUGAGCCUAGUAGGGGGUGUGAAGAAACAAGUCGACAAGCUGAAAAGCAAUCUCAUUGCUAUCCAAUCUGUCCUUGAAGACGCAGAUAGAAAACAAGUGAAGGAUAAGGCUGUAAGAGAUUGGGUAGACAAGCUCAAAGAUGUAUGUUAUGAUAUGGAUGACGUGCUAGAUGAAUGGAGCUCAGCAAUUCUUACUUGGAAAAUGGAGGAAGCUGAAGAAAAUACUCGCAGCCUACAGAAGAUGCGAUGUUCCUUCCUGGGAUCUCCUUGCUUUUGUCUCAAUCAAGUGGGUCGACGUCGAGACAUUGCCCUCAAGAUCAAAGAAGUAUGUGAAAAAGUGGAUGACAUUGCGAAAGCGAGAGCUAUGUAUGGCUUUGAGUUGUACAGGGCCACUGAUGAACUCCAACGAAUAACAAGUACCUCCCUUGUUGAUGAAUCAAUCGUGACUGGUCGAGAUGAUGAAAGGGAAGCUGUAGUAAGCAAGUUGCUGGGCGAAAGUAUUCAGGAAGCAGGGGACGUGGAGGUCAUCUCUAUAGUAGGGAUGGGCGGGAUUGGAAAGACAACUCUCGCCCAACUAGCUUUUAAUGAUGCUGAGGUUACGGCUCAUUUUGAGAAGAUAUGGGUGUGUGUUUCAGAUCCAUUUGAUGAGGUUAGGAUAGGCAAAGCUAUCCUCGAGCAGCUUGAAGGGAGGGCACCGGAUUUGGUUGAAUUGCAAUCCCUUUUGCAAAGGGUUUCUGAAUCCAUUAAGGGAAAGAGGUUCCUUCUUGUCCUAGAUGAUGUCUGGACAGAAAAUCAUGGACAAUGGGAACCACUGAAACUCUCUCUCAAAGGCGGUGCACCAGGAAGCAGAAUUCUAGUGACCAGUCGUAAACAUUCUGUGGCAACCAUGAUGGGAACCGACCACAUGAUCAACCUUGAGAGACUGUCUGAUGAGGUAUGCAGGUCAAUAUUCAAUCACGUGGCAUUCCAUAAAAGAAGCAAAGAUGAGUGCGAAAGAUUGACAGAAAUCAGCGAUAAAAUUGCAAACAAGUGCAAGGGAUUGCCUCUAGCUGCCAAGGUAUUAGGAGGUCUAAUGCAGUUUAAAAGAACAAGAGAAGAGUGGGAACAUGUUUUAUCUAGCGAACUGUGGGAGCUAGAACAUGUUGAAAGAGGACUAUUUCCACCUUUGCUUUUAAGUUACUACGAUUUACCUUCUGUGGUAAGACGAUGUUUCUUGUAUUGUGCCAUGUUUCCAAAAGACUACGAGAUGGUCAAAGAUGAAUUGGUGAAGAUGUGGAUGGCUCAAGGUUACCUUAAGGAGACUCCAAGUAGAGAUAUGGAGCUUGUUGGAGAGGAGUACUUUCAAGUCUUAGCAGCGCGCUCUUUCUUCCAAGAUUUUAAGACGGAUGAGUUUGAAGGAAUGAAAUUCAAGAUGCAUGAUAUAGUGCAUGAUUUUGCCCAAUAUAUGACAAAAAAUGAAUGUCUAACAGUGGAUGCCAGUAAACUUGGAGAAGCAACAACAGAGAUUUCAUGUGAAAGGGUUCGUCAUUUAAGCAUGAAGUUAUCAGGGGAGACCUCUUUUCCGGCGUCCAUUCGCAAAGCAAAAGGUCUUCGCAGCCUCUUGAUAGGCAGUAGAGACCCUUCGCUUGGAGCUGCACUACUUGAUGUAUUCAAGCAGUUGACAUGCAUCAGGUCAUUGAAUUUGUCAUGGUCUUCAAUCAAAGAAAUACCAAAGGAGGUAGGGAAAUUGAUACAUUUGAGACACCUCAAUUUGGCAGAUUGUGGAGAGUUGGAGUCCCUGCCAGAAACCACGUGUGAUUUAUGCAAUCUGCAAUCCCUAGACGUUACGUGGUGUCGUUCUCUUAAGGAAUUACCUAAGGCUAUUGGAAAACUUAUCAAAUUGAGGCAUCUCCAGAUUUAUGGUUCAGGUGUGGCCUUCAUACCAAAGGGAAUAGAGAGGAUAACAUGUCUUCGAACAUUAGAUGGGUUUACUGUGUGUGGUGGUGGUGAGAAUGAAAGUAAAGGAGCUAAUCUAAGAGAAUUAAAAAACUUAAAUCUCAUUGGAGGGAGUUUUAGUAUACGGAAUCUAGGAGGAGGUAUAGAAGAUGCGAGUGACGCUGCAGAAGCACAACUCAAGAAUAAGAAGCGCCUGCUUUGUUUGGAAUUGGGUUUCGACUACAACCAGGAGAACGGCAUUUUAAUUGAAGCUUUACAGCCUCCGUCAGACUUGGAAUAUCUAACCAUAUCUAGUUACGGAGGGUUGGAUUUGCCAAAUUGGAUGAUGACAUUGACCAGAUUACAGGUGCUUACACUCCGUUAUUGUGAAAACGUGGAGGUCUUGCCUCCGUUGGGAAGAUUGCCCAACCUUGAAAGCCUGGUAUUGAGCUCGUUGAAGGUGAGAAGGCUGGAUGCUAGAUUUUUAGGUAUAGAAAAGGCUGAGAAUGCCAGUAUUGAUGAAGGAGAAAUUGCAAGGGUCACUGCUUUCCCCAAAUUAAAAAAACUUUGGAUUGAGGGUCUCGAAGAAGUAGAAGAGUGGGAUGGAAUUGAAAUGAGAGUAGGAGAAGAAGAUGCCAACACAACUUCAAUA
rnacentral:lncRNA from 1 species